rnacentral:rRNA from 1 species
CCUACGGGAGGCUGCAGUAGGGAAUAUUGCUCAAUGGGGGAAACCCUGAAGCAGCAACGCCGCGUGGAGGAUGAAGGUUUUCGGAUUGUAAACUCCUUUUGUUAGAGAAGAUAAUGACGGUAUCUAACGAAUAAGCACCGGCUAACUCCGUGCCAGCAGCCGCGGUAAUACGGAGGGUGCAAGCGUUACUCGGAAUCACUGGGCGUAAAGAGCGCGUAGGCGGGAUAGCAAGUCAGAUGUGAAAUCCUAUGGGUUAACCAUAGAACUGCAUUUGAAACUGUUAUUCUAGAGUAUGGGAGAGGUAGGUGGAAUUCUUGGUGUAGGGGUAAAAUCCGUAGAGAUCAAGAGGAAUACUCAUUGCGAAGGCGACCUGCUAGAACAUAACGGACGCUGAUGCGCGAAAGCGUGGGGAGCAAACAGGAUUAGAUACCCCAGUAGUC